CACGCUACAGCCACCGGCAGUUGUUAUUCGGUCGAAAUCAUUUAAGUACUGAACAUUGAAACACUAUUGCCACCAUUUCUGUAGCCAGCUGCUGGUUCUUCUGCUGGUAGCACUAUCUUCAUACCACUAUCAACAACAGUUAGCUGCUACGACUUCUCCGAUCCCUUGGAUAACGGUUUUUUCGCUGAUGGAGUGCUGAAACGGCGGUGACUGAGGGCUCACUGUCAUUCACAAGUGGGUCCAGUCUGGUUUGGGGGUCUACCCUUUCUCAUCAUGUCCUGCUACCCAAUAAAAAGGGAAAUAACUAAAGGCCUCUGCAGCUGCUUUUACAGAUGCUGUGAGAGUCAUGCCCUGUGCAGCGGCUUCUGAUUCAGUACAGCAGUUCAAUCAGCCCAGCAAACAGGAAAAACAGUUAAAUGUGUUUUAACACAUUUAACAGUUAAAACAGUUAAAUGUGUUUUAACUGUCAGCAUCCCUACCCAAAAAAGAUCAGGCUACUGUUAUUUCCAACUAAGAAAAAAAAUGGUCUGGUUUGAAGGUUAUCUGUGUUUUGAAGCAUGU